GUUUCGAUAGCUUAAACAAAGCAUAACAUUGAAGCUGUUAAGACGAAUUCCCUUCUCGAAACA
rnacentral:tRNA from 1 species